AAUACCAACAAUAUACACCUCAAUAACUCUCUCGAGACUAAGUUGAGAUAUUAUCAUGAAGCCCAGAAUCAUUUUCUUCAUGAUUAUUGUUUUAGUUUUAUUCACUUUUGUCAUCAACACCUAUGGAGAAGAGAAGCCCGGGUGUGAAGAUAGAUUUAUAAUGGAUGGGCAAUGUGGGAAGAAUGGAGACAUAGAUUGCAUUGUUGAAUGUGUCAAAAGACUUGGACUAAGGCUUAUUACAGCAGGAGAUUGCUAUUGUCGUGAUCUUCCUGACAAUAAACGCCGAUGCAUUUGCGCUUAUGACUCAUGUUAUUACAAAGGAUUAUUUGCUUCUCAAAGGCAUAGCUAGUGGAGGGAGUAUAUGCUUUUGACAAUUUAAUUGUCCCUACACCUAUGCAUGCACCAAGAAAUGUUGCUAUCGUUUAUGUUCAAAUUCUUCUAAUUCUGCUGUUACUCUUCUAACUUUGGCCAUCCUACCUUAAAUAUUGUACUCUCUAUUUUAAAUAAAUGCAAUAUCUCUAUUUCUCGUAAAUCUCAUGAUGUGUAUAUACGUGAAUUUUUUGCUCCACGGGAAAAUGUAUCAAUUACCAUUUGUUGAUCCUAAACUCAAUUUUUAAUGAUCCUUUUGAAUUUGUGUUUGUUGAUAUUUGGGAACAUGAUAUUAUGUGACAGGUAUCAGCAACUUAGGUGUGGAGAAAAUGUGCCUUGUGAGAUCUGGAACUUGAAGCAGAAUGUGAGAAUGUGAAGCAGAGAAGAGGUAGAGAAAGAAAAAGAGUUCUGUUAUUUUUAUUGAAAGAGAAAAAUAGUUGGUUCAAUUACAUGUAAGAAGCCGCAAGAGAUACUUAUAGAGAAGGUUUAACUACCUUCUAGAGAUAGAAAAGGAAAAGCUAACUAAUUGGCUAUUCUAGAAAGUUCUUGUAACUAAUUUGUAACUAACUAUUGGAAGCUGACUCGGAUCUUCUAAUAGACUUUUACACUAGGCAUCAAUCACAACCACAAUGCUAAUACA